AACGAACGCUGGCGGCAGGCUUAACACAUGCAAGUCGAACGGGUGUAGCAAUACAUCAGUGGCAGACGGGUGAGUAACACGUGGGAACCUUCCUAGGGGUACGGAACAACUCAGGGAAACUUGAGCUAAUACCGUAUACGUCCGUGAGGAGAAAGAUUUAUCGCCCUUAGACGGGCCCGCGUCGGAUUAGCUAGUUGGUGGGGUAACGGCCUACCAAGGCGACGAUCCGUAGCUGAUCUUAGAGGAUGAUCAGCCACACUGGGACUGAGACACGGCCCAGACUCCUACGGGAGGCAGCAGUGGGGAAUCUUGGACAAUGGGCGCAAGCCUGAUCCAGCCAUGCCGCGUGAGUGAAGAAGGUCUUCGGGUUGUAAACUCCUUUUGCAUUGGCACAUGCCUUUGCGAAUAAGCAGCUACUAACUACGUGCCAGCAGCCGCGGUAA
rnacentral:rRNA from 1 species